rnacentral:rRNA from 1 species
UACGUAGGGUGCAAGCGUUACUCGGAAUUACUGGGCGUAAAGCGUGCGUAGGUGGUGAGUUAAGUCUGUCGUGAAAGCCCCGGGCUCAACCUGGGAAUGGCGAUGGAUACUGGCUCGCUAGAGUGCGGUAGAGGAGAGUGGAAUUCCCGGUGUAGCAGUGAAAUGCGUAGAGAUCGGGAGGAACAUCAGUUGCGAAGGCGGCUCUCUGGACCAGCACUGACACUGAGGCACGAAAGUGUGGGGAGCAAACAGG